AGCUGGGAUCGCGGAGCUUGCGCCCUGCGGGGGCUGGCGGCGAUGAAGAUCUGGAGCUCGGAGCACGUGUUCGGCCACCCAUGGGCCACAGUCAUCCAGGCUGCUAUGAGGAAGUACCCGAACCCCAUGAACCCCUGCGUCGUGGGCGUGGACGUGCUGGAGCGCAGCGUGGAUGGCCAUGGCCGGCUGCACAGCCAGCGCCUGCUUAGCACGGAGUGGGGACUGCCUGGCCUCGUGAAAGCGAUUUUGGGAACCAGUAGGACUUUGACAUACAUCAAAGAACAUUCUGUGGUGGAUCCAGUGGAAAAGAGAAUGGAACUUUGUUCCACCAAUAUCACACUCACAAAUUUGGUAUCGGUCAAUGAGAGACUGGUAUAUACACCUCAUCCGGAGAAUCCUGAAAUGACUGUGCUCACACAAGAAGCCAUCAUCACUGUGAAGGGGAUUAGCCUCGGCAGUUAUCUGGAAAGUUUAAUGGCCAGCACGAUAUCAUCCAAUGCAAAGAAGGGGUGGGCUGCUAUUGAGUGGAUAAUUGAAAAUUCUGAAAGUGCCGUGAGCUAACGGGGACUACAUCUGCGCCUUGUGACAAACAGUGGUAACUACAGUACUGAUUAACCUGAUACCUCACUGAGAAAAUCAAAGAAGGAAGAAAGAAGAACCAAAGGAAG